GGUCAGAGAGAAAGUGCAGGGCCAAGGAGCACCUCUGCAGGAAACAAAGAAGCAUCCCCCACUGCGUCUUCCAGAAAUAGCUGGGGAGGAAAAGAAGAACAAUACUUUUUCCACAUUCACACGGGCAUCACAUCACAGUGGCUCAUGGAGAUUCAGAUGAAUGUUCAUUUGGCAUCUGGCAAAUCUUCAAGAGAACUAACGUUAGCCUACAUAGGAGCUGGAAAAUUUUAGUCUAUUUCAAAAUCAUGGGCCAAGAAAGGAAAGAACAUGCACACAAAAGAACACCAUCAAGGGCUUGUGAAUCACAGGCACUGCUUCAGCAAAGGCUUGGAUCGCGCUGCAUGAAGCACAUCAGGAUGACAGCAAGAGAAAUCCUCUCCUUCUCAGGAAGGAAUGCAAGUGAAAGACUGCUGGUGAGGGAGGGAGAGACAAAUGGAUAUAAGCACAUAACGUGGAUACUCUCAUUUGUUGCCAAAAAUGCUUAGAAAUGGCAGAACUUUGAUAUAAGGAGGCUCGGAGCAAUGUUAGAAACUUACAAGUUCUGAGCAUGGAUCAUCUAAUAAAAUGCUGAAAGGAAGGCACUGAUGUUUUGGAAAACAUGGAAGAGGCUAAAAAAUAAUAAUUAAAACAAAUCAAAGGAAAAAGAGUCAGAUCAAAAUAUGACUCUCAGUGCAGAGCUGAAAUCAGGGUUCUGAAUGAAGUCUCUCCAGAAUAAAUUACUCUGGUACUUUUUGGAAAUCCAAACUGACACUUCAAAAUGUUUCCAAAUGACAUCUUCCAGAGACUCAUCAUACCCCAAGGAAUGAUACAGAUGAGGACAAAUUGUGAGGGCUGGGAAAACCAGUUUUUUUUUUUUUUUUUUUUCCACAAUAUAACACCACUUUUUCAGUAAUAGAUCUUAAUGCAAUUUUUGGAGGGCUAAAAUGUUACAAAACUAAUCUUUAAUUAUCCCAGCUGAGGCAAAUACGCCUUACCUGUACUGAUGUUGGCCUAUAGCUUUGUUUCUGCCUGACUGUAAGCAAGCUGUUUGCACAGCACUUGUCCAUCAUGAAUAACCAGUGACCCGAGAUCUCCAGGAUAUGAUCUAGAUCGAUAUACCCUAGUACCCUGCCCUUUGCUGAGGUGCUGAUUUCAGUGAGAGAUUUCUCAGGAACACCUGUGCCACUUUGCACCUUAUAGUCUAAUCUCUUGACCUAACAAGACCUUGCUAUAUCUUACAAAGCACACUUGCAUGAUGAGUGGCCUCUUAUUUCAACCGUGCAAUCAACUGCACAGCUGGAUGAGCUCCCAGAUGGAAAUGCUUUUAUGAGUAAUGCAAUGCAGAUAGCACAGUUUCCACUAGAUGGCAAUAGAGGGAAUAAAAGUUCCAUGCUGCUUUACAAAGUGAAUGUAUGACCCAGCUAAGCAUGUUUUGUAAAAGACAGCAGCUCACCUUCUAUUCUGCACAGAUAAUAUCUGGAAAUCCUUUCUGGUUCUGAGAAUUAAAGGGCUCCAGAGGAUUACAGAAAGCUCACGAGUUACAGAAAUGAGGUAAGAUUUUCAGUCACUCAAAGUGAAAUUUUCUCCACUGAAUUCGUCUUUUUUAUCAAAAUGCCUGUAGGACCUUUGAAACUCCUCUCUGAAUCACACAGAGUGAGACUCAUUUUGGUGUCCUGUCUACUUCUCAGUCCACACUGGUGCUAGACUUUGGGAAAGUUAGUUUGCCAAACUUCUGAACGGAAAUUGUGGCUAGAAAAUUCAGUUGUUUUAGUCCACAGGGACUAAAAUUCAGUUCACAGGGAAAGAAAGAGGAGAGGACAGAGAGGUAAGAAAUGUAUAUAGCUUUUUUAAGAGCUUGUUUUAUAAAGACAUGGAUGUGAAUAGAUCCCAUCUGAUCUAGUGUGGAAGAUGGGACUGCAAAGGAAGGAACAUCUCCAACUCAGGAGAUGCCUGACUUCCCACGUGACAGUCCUGCUUGAGUUCAGGCUGAAGACAUGCCUGCUCAAUGGAACAGGGCCAUCUCAUUUUGCUUUUGAUGUCUCAUUCUGAAAAACAUGUAGGGAUGACUCUCAAGCCUGCCAACAUAUAAUUUGCUUAGAUGCAAAUGGAUUUUACUGAACAUUUUACUCGUUUGCAGAAAGGAAAUUGGAAGGUGGAGAAAAUCUAUUACCUUUAAUCUCUCCCCCUAGAAAACUGCUUCUCUUAAUCAAAGUAAACAUGCAGUGCUUUUUGUGCUGAGACUUUCCAGACAGUGGGAUAUAUCAAGUGUCAGGAAAUAAACCAGUGCAACCCCAGCUGACUUUCUUCUAUCAGAUUAUUUGGCCAUUAAAUAUAGUUAGACUGUGAAACACUGGGGCAGGGAGAUGAGUUGUACAAGUCCAUCCUGAAUAACCAGUUAUGGGGAAAAUAACUGUCCUUCCUUGUUUGGCCAUCACUGGCCCUGGCUUUUCAGUGGUAGAGGCAAACGACUGUUUACCAGGCCCAGGAGGUGGGUGGCUGUAGGAACUUCGCUUGGUUAAUUACUCAAAGCAUAAUCAAAUUUGUCCUUGCCUCAGUUCCCAACUUACCCCUGAAAUAUUGUUUGAAUUUAGAGGCUAAGAUUUCCUAAGCAGGGACAGUGGAUCACUUGGGCUUUUAGAAGUUAAUACCAAGUUGCGUAAUCCUUGUUUGGGAUCCUUCAGAGUUGCUCCAAUGGAAAUAACACCACAAAUUGCUGCUGGGUGAAAACGAGCCUGGACCUGGGCAGGCAGCGGUGUGUCAUGCUGCCUUGCAGUGUAGGUGGGACUUGGGCUACCGCCGGGCCCUGCCUUCUCACAGACAUGCUGUGCCUCCCUGCAGGGAGACACGGAGUCUCCACCCCCAUCCCCACACACAUUGCAGCGCUGAGGACAUCAUCAUCAUUCUUCUGCGUGGGCUGAAAUCCUCCCGCAUGAUGUCAACUGAAUACAUUUAAUUAAAAUGAAAAGGCUACUGCUACCCUUAUCACAGUCCUUUCCUUCAUUUUAUGUUUGUCAUUCUCGUUUUCAGUUUCUCAGUUUGCCUUCUUGUGCAAGUUCACACAGACACUAGCUGCCUGCCC